UACGGAGGGUGCAAGCGUUAAUCGGAAUUACUGGGCGUAAAGCGCGCGUAGGCGGUUUGAUAAGUCAGAUGUGAAAGCCCCGGGCUUAACCUGGGAAUUGCAUUUGAAACUGUCUAACUAGAGUGUGGUAGAGGGAGGUGGAAUUCAGCGUGUAGCGGUGAAAUGCGUAGAGAUGCUGAGGAACACCAGUGGCGAAGGCGGCCUCCUGGACCAACACUGACGCUGAGGUGCGAAAGCGUGGGGAGCAAACAGGAUUAGAUACCCCCGUA
rnacentral:rRNA from 1 species